AAAAAAAAAAAAAAAAAAUCUUUUCUGAAAACAUUGGUUAGGCUCUGUUUCUGCUAGCUUCAGCUCUCUAUUCUCUAAAAUUAAGCUAAAGCUUUGAGUUUUUGCAGAUUAAAUCUCACUGUAAGACUCCUCAUCUAGUCCCUACUUAGCUUUUCAAAACUCAAAGCUUUCAAUUGUUUUUUUCCUUUCUUUUCUGGGUUUUAAAUUUUAAGCUUGUUUUAGUUACAGUAUUUUGUUUUUUCAUGUUUAUUUUUUUUUUA
rnacentral:misc_RNA from 1 species